UACGUAGGGUGCAAGCGUUGUCCGGAAUUAUUGGGCGUAAAGAGCUCGUAGGCGGUCUGUCACGUCGGCUGUGAAAGCCCGGGGCUCAACCCCGGGAGGCGGGCGGAUACUGUCGAGCUAGAGUCCGGAAGAGGCGAGUGGAAUUCCUGGUGUAGCGGUGAAAUGCGCAGAUAUCAGGAGGAACACCAAUGGCGAAGGCAGCUCGCUGGGACGGUACUGACGCUGAGACGCGAAAGCGUGGGGAGCAAACAGG
rnacentral:rRNA from 1 species